CUUAAUAAUUUACCUCAUUGAUUUGCUUAACCACACACGUCUCUGUGUGCAUCCACACCUCCCCUUCGUGAAGAAAAAAAUACUUCAACAGUUGAUAUUCCAUGUCUGAUGGAGCGAUGUUCGAUGUUUCUGGUUUCACUCUAUGGUAAAAGUCUUAGAGAGUUCGGCAAGCCACUGACUUAGAGGAAAUUGGGCAAAGAUGCUUCUCGCAAUUCUGUUAGACUAAAAUCAGCAAAGUAGAGACACACAAUUGUGCAUCUCUUGCAGGUUUGUUAGAGGAAAAUCAGUAGAUUGAGAAAAGCACAUCUCUACAUUCCAACUUAUAAAGAGGGUGGGAGCUAAGCAGGGAAAUUGAAGCUCGGUAAUGAGUAGUUAAUAACCAAUCAAAUGAUGACUCAGCGAACCAUAAUUUACUGUGAGAUCCAAUCCACAAAAAGCAGUCAUAGCCCCUCCCAUGGAAUGUCCUGUCACGAUAAUGAGAAUGUAUUGUCAAUUAGUAUUUUGUAACGUGAAUGAAAGUUCUUGUACUAUGCUAUGUUUUCUUCAUUGUUUUCUUCACUUUUUAUUAGAAUGUUUACAAUUUUUUCUAUCUAUAGUGCAGUGUGUACAUUUGCUGGGGUACUUUAUCUUGUAUUGUUGCCACUAGCCUCAAUUUUGUAGCUUCUGCUUAGUGCCUCCAAUAUGGUAUUUUUUUUUAAAAAAAUUAAAGUUUACAAAAUGUUGCUUGCUUGCUUUCGCAUAUGAGAAAAGUAUUAUAGCACCUCGAGUAUUGUCGACUUAGUUAUUGCUAACACAUGUUGACUUGUUGCUACUUUAGCUACUUCUUACUGAUAUCGGAUGAUGAAGUACUAUUUAGGUCCUUAAUGUUUUUAGAUGCUGCUCUAUAAUAAUGUUAAGUAUUAUAUAAUCUUCUUUUCUUAAUUAUUAUAUAUUUAAGAGGAAAUUUAGUAGAUUGCAUAAAGUUUGAAAUUUAUUAAACAGUGAUAUGUGUUAAAAGAAGAACUUCAGUCUUUUCUCGUUACUACUCAUGUCUUAUAUCUCAUCAAGCUUGCUCAUUUCUUGUACUGCAUAUUCUUAGAUUAUUCUUCUCAUCAAGGUAAAUUUUUUCUCGUCACCGAGUUCCUUUAUUUUCAAAAGAAAUCCUCUUAAAUAUGUGAUGAUAUCUCUUGGGCAGAUGUAUGUACACCUGUCUAUUGAGAAUUUGAUUAUUGACUACCUGCAAGAAGAGUCAUCUGAUCAAGACCUUCAGGAACUGAAAUUGAGAACAAUAGAAUGAUCUUUAUUUGUGUUAUACUCAUCAAUUCGUUUAGGAAUCUUCAAUUAUCUGAGUACAUCAAAAGCAGAUACCAGUAGUAAAAUAUAGAAUACAAAGAGAGCUUAACUGUGGCCUAAAGCUAACUGAAUUCCUUUACUAGAGUUAUUUUUUCAAUUCUUUGUGUUGAACCUACCUACAAAAAAGAGUUUUUUUUUUAAGAAGUAUCCUUUUUUUGUUUACUUAUGGAUUGUAGAAAAUUUCAGUACUGAACAGAAUAAUUGGAUCGUUGAGAGUGGUAAAUUUGGUUUCUCUCCAUAGGUUACACCAUGUGUUAGUAAUUCAUUAGUUUAUAUCAUACUCUUGAACAAGUGUAUGGGUGCAGGCAGGUUAUCAAAAGCAAACGUUGUUUUAUAUUUGACAAUUUCUUCAAAGAUUAAUUUCCAGUGAUCAUAUGCACUAUGCAUUUCAGUAGUCUCACGAAUUAUUGGGGAAUUCUCUUAGUACCCUGGCAAAUUUGAGGAAUCUAUGGUCUGCAACUUAAGUUUCAAAUUCGAAUAAUAGCCUUCAUAGUUCUACUAGCCUAUUUUUUAGAACUUGCUUGAGGCAAAUUAUUCUGGAAAAACUGUGUACUAAGCAUUCCAAAUAUGUCGAGAGUAAAGAACUUUGGAGCAGUGACACAUAUAACAUACACCCUCCAAAAAUUUAAAAAAAUUCAGUAUAACUAAUUCUAGGUGUGAAUUUAUAUAUGAAGCUUUCUCACUUUUCAGAAAUUUGAAAAAAAAAAGACACAAUUGCAUGAAAUGCAUGAUUGUAGCAUAAGCAUGUCAUGGUUCGAUUAAAGAAGCCUCAAUUUUUUUUCUUGUAUGAUUCAAGAUGAAUAUGUAACAGGUCAUGCAAUAUUUUUAGGUGUCCUAACUGCUUGUGCUCAUUCUGGAUUAGUGGACGAGGCUAGGAGCUUCUUUAUAUCAAUGGAGAAAAGAUGGAGUAUAAUUCCAAAGGCUGAACACUAUAGUGUGGUUAAUCUCCUUGGGAGAUCAGGGAUGUUAGUUGAAGCCUUCAAACUUGUGAAACAAAUUCCAUGCUUGAGAGAUAUUACUUUAGUUUUUAUAGAGUCCACAAGAAUUUUUAUUUAAGGGAUCUUGUAUUUUAAUUUAAGUCAUCUUGUAGAGAAGAAACUUCUAAUCUUUUAUUGUUGGUAAAUAACAGAUAUUAUUACCAAAAGAGCAAUGUAAGAACAAGGAAAAUCAAGGUCUUGACUGCCCCUAGCCUUGCUGAUCAGAGCAUCUAAACAAUCAUACUAACUAUGGGUAUCUCGACAACUUAAGCAGUAGCUAGUUUUUCCUUCUUACUUGCUGUAAUAUUGAUCUCCUGGACAAUAUUCUGUAUAAGAACACCCAGCUAGCCUUGAAAUUUAUCAAAUAUGUAUUGUGCAAGAGGAGAUGCAGCUGCUAAAGUUUCUACUGAAGUUUGUAGCAACAAUAAAUUAUAAGAACUCACUUUCUAAAUUCAAUGAAUUAUAAGAAUCCACGUGCUUUUAUUAGAAACUUCAA